GUUUUACCUUCAAAGUGAAAAACGUUCAAUUAGUUUUGAAGUUGAAUCUUGAUCCUCCCAAAUAAACAAGGAUUUCUAGUGUAAACUGUGAUCCUCUUCCUUGAGUGAGAUGGAAAAAAAUUAAUUUGCCGCAUCAGUGUCCAUAUCUCAGGGUCCGGCACGGUGACGGGCACAUACAAGACAUUUGUGAAACGUGUGGAAUGC